GACGAACGCUGGCGGCGUGCUUAACACAUGCAAGUCGAACGGAAAGGCCCUGCUUUUGUGGGGUGCUCGAGUGGCGAACGGGUGAGUAACACGUGAGUAACCUGCCCUUGACUUUGGGAUAACUUCAGGAAACUGGGGCUAAUACCGGAUAGGAGCUCCUGCUGCAUGGUGGGGGUUGGAAAGUUUCGGCGGUUGGGGAUGGACUCGCGGCUUAUCAGCUUGUUGGUGGGGUAGUGGCUUACCAAGGCUUUGACGGGUAGCCGGCCUGAGAGGGUGACCGGCCACAUUGGGCCUGAGAUACGGCCCAGACUCCUACGGGAGGCAGCAGUGGGGAAUAUUGCACAAUGGGCGGAAGCCUGAUGCAGCAACGCCGCGUGCGGGAUGACGGCCUUUGGGUUGUAAACCGCUUUCGCCUGUGACGAAGCGUGAGUGACGGUAAUGGGUAAAGAAGCACCGGCUAACUACGUG
rnacentral:rRNA from 1 species